rnacentral:tRNA from 1 species
CGGGGUGUAGCGCAGCCCGGUAGCGCGCCUGCUUUGGGAGCAGGAUGUCGGAGGUUCGAAUCCUUCCACCCCGA